AUUGAACGCUGGCGGCAGGCCUAACACAUGCAAGUCGAGCGAGUGGCGGACGGGUGAGUAAUGUAUGGGGAACUGCCUGAUGGAGGGGGAUAACUACUGGAAACGGUAGCUAAUACCGCAUACCAUCGGAUGUACCCAUAUGGGAUUAGCUAGUAGGUGGGGUAAAGGCUCACCUAGGCGACGAUCCCUAGCUGGUCUGAGAGGAUGACCAGCCACACUGGGACUGAGACACGGCCCAGACUCCUACGGGAGGCAGCAGUGGGGAAUAUUGCACAAUGGGCGCAAGCCUGAUGCAGCCAUGCCGCGUGUAUGAAGAAGGCCUUAGGGUUGUAAAGUACUUUCAGCGGGGAGGCGUUACCCGCAGAAGAAGCACCGGCUAACUCCGUGCCAGCAGCCGCGGUAAUAC
rnacentral:rRNA from 1 species